CGAAAGUGAAGCUAAUACUCCAUGUGGUCAAUCAUUCGGUUGAUUGAUUAAAGCUAAGGCGCUUUGGGAGGGGCUUGCGGCCCAUCAGCUAGUUGGUAGGGUAAAGGCCUACCAAUGCGAAGACGGGUAGCUGGUUUGAGAGGACGAUCAGCCACAAUGGCACUGAAACACGGGCCAUACUCCUACGGGAGGCAGCAGUGAGGAAUAUUGCACAAUCGACGCAAGUCGGAUGCAGCAACGCCGCGUGGACGAUGAAGGCCUUCGGGUUGUAAAGUCCUUUUAAGAGGGACGAGGAAGGACGGUACCUCUUGAAUAAGUCUCGGCUAACUACGUGCCAGCAGCCGCGGUAACACGUAGGAGGCGAGCGUUAUCCGGAUUUAUUGGGCGUAAAGCGCAUGCAGGUGGCUAGGUAAGUCGGGUGUGAAAGCCCCGGACUUAAUCCGGGGAGGUCAUUCGAUACUGCUUGGCUUGAGAGCGGGAGAGGGAAGUGGAAUUCUCGGUGUAGUGGUGAUAUGCGUAGAUAUCGAGAGGAACACCAGUGGCGAAGGCGGCUUCCUGGCCCGUAUCUGACACUAAGAUGCGAAAGCGUGGGUAGCAAACGGACUUAGAUACUCCGGUAGUCCACGCUGUAAACGAUGGGUACUAGGUGUAGGGGGUGUAAAACUCUCUGUGCCAUAGUUAACGCACUAAGUACCCCGCCUGGGGACUACGGUCGCAAGGCUUAUACUCAAAGGAAUUGACGGGGGCCCGCACAAGCAGCGGAGCGUGUGGUUCAAUUCGAAGAUACACGAAGAACCUUACCUGGGCUUGACAUGUUGGUAGUAGUGAAGCGAAAGCGGAACGAUCCUUCGGGAAGCCAUCACAGGUGCUGCAUGGCUGUCGUCAGCUCGUGCCGUGAGGUGUUGGGUUAAGUCCUGUAACGAGCGCAACCCUCGCUGCCAGUUACAAGUGUCUGGCGGGACUGCCGGUGACAAACCGGCGGAAGGUGGGGAUGACGUCAAGUCAGCAUGGCCUUUAUGUCCAGGGCUACACACACGCUACAAUGGCCGGUACAAUAGGUUGCCAAGUCGUGAGGCGGAGC
rnacentral:rRNA from 1 species